rnacentral:misc_RNA from 1 species
GAAGCGCGAAAUGUAGUGUGAAUCGCAGAACAUUGUGAAUCAUCGAAUCUUUGAACGCACAUUGCGCCUCUCGUAACAGGGAGGCAUGCCUGUCUGAGUCUCAUUUAAUCUCUAAAUCCAUUUGGGUUUGUGCCUGGGUGCUCGCCUAUUGGGCGUCGCCUCGAAGUCAUCUGUCUGAUGAGCGGAUGAGAUCCUUCUGGACUGACCGUUUGUUGGGCCCCAAAACUCUGAUUUGAGCUCAGAUCAGGUAGGACUACCGCCUGAACUUAA